rnacentral:rRNA from 1 species
UACGUAGGGUGCGAGCGUUAAUCGGAAUUACUGGGCGUAAAGCGUGCGCAGGCGGUUGAUUAAGUCUGAUGUGAAAGCCCCGGGCUCAACCUGGGAAUGGCAUUGGAAACUGGUCAGCUGGAGUGUGGCAGAGGGGGGGUGGAAUUCCGCGUGUAGCAGUGAAAUGCGUAGAGAUGCGGAGGAACACCGAUGGCGAAGGCAGCCCCCUGGGCCAACACUGACGCUCAGGCACGAAAGCGUGGGGAGCAAACAGG